AAAAAAGAGAGGGAAGGAGGGAGAUAAGCAAGAGAUGACGUAAAAAAAAAAAACAGCUUCUAUAACAUCAUGGAGAAACUUACAUGUGUGUCUGUGUCUGUGUGUGUGUGUGUGUGUGUGUGUGUGUGUGUGUGUGUGUGUUGCACCAUCACCACCACGGCCGCCAUCUGCCCUUACACAGGCGGGAGGAAAGCUAUCUUAUCACACUUGCUGGAUACCUCAAGCCACGCCUUCCCUUUCAUGCAUGCCCUUGUUAGUUCUCGCUAUGGUACCAGUGUGCCACGCAUAUGCACCACAUAGUGACACACUGACACAGGUGGCCAGGUGUGAGACGCAGUAACACGUAUGCUUGCUUCUCUCAGGGACUGCCACGUGUUAGUUCUUGCUAUGCCACCAGCGUCUUUCAGUGCGUAAUGGUAGUGGUGGUUGUGCCGUCACUGGAGGAGCAACAAAGCAACACUCUUCCGCCCACGUGGUCCCUUCGCGCUCAUCUAAUGAACCCAAUCGCGCACCGGCGGGCAGGGAACAGCUGCGGGGCGGGCUUCCUGUCAGCUGGGUAAGCGCAUACCCAAGACCAGAAAACCCGAGAUGCUUGAGAGGAACCGUGCGGAAGAUGCUCCCAACCUUGCGGUGGCGUGAGGCUGGGCAGGACAAGUGUUGGGACCAGCGCGAUCCGCCACGCAGGACCGGUCCCUGCCGCGGUGUCGAGGAGCUCGCCGCAAAAAGGUGGCGCGAGACUGCGAGAGUGAAAGUGGCCAGUGAGAAGGAAAUAUGCCUCUUCCCCGUCUGUCAGUAGUUCACUUGGAAGGCCGCAAUGCAAGGACAAGUUACUUAAUGCUCUUUGUUAUCUACUGUUUGUUCCACCAGCUUGUCUCCACACAGGCGUCACUUCAAUGUAAAUACAGAAACAGUAGUAACUUAAUGACAGCUGUUUAAAGACAAAGGCAAACUACUUAACGCACAAUGUCAUCUACUGUUUGUUUCACCAGCCUCCACACAGUCUCCACACACACACACAGUCUCCACACACGCGUCACUCCGAAUACAGAAACAGCUGUAACUUGAUAGCUAUUAGUGUCCCCCACGACCCAUACCUGCCUGGCGCUCAGCAAACCGGUAUUUACGUUGGUUUUCCUAUCCCUUCACGAGUCCGUUACGGAUCGUGCCACCUUUCCCAGGAACAGGUCAUGCAGCAGACCAGCCCUGCACAGCCACUUGCAGGAACUGAUAGCUGCGAACACCAAGCUAGCACUUAGAACCAACCAUGACACAACAUAUUACCUGCCACGCUUGUUCUGAGCAGACGCUGAGAGAAAGGAAAAAAAUAUAUAGGUACAUCUUUUAAACAGGCCACUUUUCUCUUAGGUAAGAAUGAUGAGGAUGAUGUAAGCAAUAGUGAGUUAGCCAAGUAGAAAAACUAACAAUGUAAAAUUAAUAUGAUAAUGAACUAGUCCUCCCCGAAGAAGGCAAAGGCCACGCCCCUCUAUUGUCCCCUGAGAGGCCUACACAAGCUGCCACUACGUACAACUGUUUUUAAAGGAACCCAGCUCAGCAUUAAGAGUGAGGGACAGUACACCUAAGAUUAUCUCUGAAGGUAAUGCAGCUUUUUAUCCAUAGGAACGAUGAAAGACAAUGGAAGUAAUUAUGCGUGCCAGACACUGAGGCAACGCUACCGUGUGUGAGGCAGUGCGCUGGUUUUACUGCCUGUCAUGAUUAGUGGUAGCAUUUAUCUCCCAGUCCUGCUGACAUACUGAUCUCCACAAAGGAUAACACGCCCAGCAGUGGAAGGCAAUGACCGUCCUCCUUCCAUUGUCCAUUCUCUCCCCGUGCACUUUCCUGCCAAGGCUGCUUCCAUACUUUCAGAUGCAAGGAUCACCGACCCUCACUAAGAACUGCAAGGUCUAUAUACAGCAAAUCCCGACGCUCGAGCCGUUUUUUUUUUUUUUUUUUUUUUUUAUAUAUUAUUCUUUCCGGGUUAUCACACUUUUAUACUCAACUUUGACAACUCGAAGGAAACUCACAGAUUAUUCCAUGCAGUGCGCGUGGAUUUACCUAACUUACCGGAUGGAGAAAGGCCAACAGAACGCGGUGUCAAAUAUUACAGCUGGAAGAUGGAUCAGUCAGGUGGUGGUCGUGACUGCUGUCAUUACCUUUAUCAGUGAUUCUAACUGAUUACCUGCGUGACAUAAAUUCCUCGAUACCUGAGUAAAGAAAGAACCACAAUACAUGCAUGUUUGUUAACGAGGCAUAUUUUUUCUUAACCUAAUUCUGAACCCUUGAGACUUGACAGACUUAUGGGUGACGAUGAUAGAUGGAAACAGGUAAGUAUGUUUCAUUUAGCGACUGCCAUGUGUAGACCUGCCAACUUCUUGCAGCUUCACUUAUUUUCUUACGUUCUUAUGCAGGGAAUUUGUAAGACACUUUGUACUGGAAGCCAGAAUCAACCCAGACACGCAAAGACCUCACGGUUACUGACACAGCACCUCUAACGGCAAAGAUUUUACACUUAUAUUGAUGUAUUCACAGUAAAAUUAAGGUUAUGAAUGCUUAUUAUGUGCAUGUGGCAAGUAACUGGUAGCUCGGCAAGGCUCUGAGUUGGAAGGUGACCGACCGGCGUGAUGCGAGUCUCUGCUAAUCCUCGCGCCGCCGGGAUGACGGUAAUGACCCAGGAAGCGGAACACCCCACACACAAUGUAACACGUUUCCUGCCAGACACGCGACCACCAUAAGCUGAGCCACCUCCGUGUUGCAUCCCGCCACCAUCACCACCACCACAACCAAUCCCUGCCCACCACCACCACCACCUUUCAAAAUUUCCCUCUCACCGCCACCUCUCACUUCCACACCAGCGACAUACUUUACAGGUUCGUGACACGCAGCCUUUCCCUCUCACAGCCCCACAGUCCCCGCCACGCUGCUCUCCGCCCCCUCCCUCACGAUGCUUGCUUCCUCCUACCAAGGCGGAAACGUGUGCAUGCUUCAACCUGACGUGACCCAGCUGAUGUGUGAUGCCUUCCUAGAAUAAACGUAAGGAACAUAUUCUUAAACAUUUCUCUCUCCUAUCUCGAGUAAGUUUGUGAGGUUUCCAAGAGUUUAUUGUAAGCUAAGGUUUUCUAAGCUAUACUGAAAGUUACUGACAUUUCCAAGGACGUUUUAAUGAUUCCAAUGAUAGUUUAACAUUGGUUCUGCACCAUCAAUGGGAAAAACACUUUUCAGAACCCGACUGAUCAUCUGGGACCUCUGAAAAUGUCCUUUUGCGAGAGAACAAAGCGCUUCAGAACACGAGCCUGAAUCUGACAUCAGGCGUGAUUAAUCCAUUACACGGCAACUGGUGGAAAAUGUUGACAGACCAGAUACGAGAGGAACUGUGACUGUAUUUUCCACUUGACAUUUAUCAGCCCUGUGGAUAUACGUCUGUGUGUGUGUGUGUGUGUGUGUGUGUGUGUGGGAGGUGGGGGGGAUGAUAAUACAUCUGCACCUACACAUUUCCCAUCACGCCUGAGAACGUGUUGACACCAGAGGGUUGGAAACGAGAUAGGAGUAUAUCUAAAAUGGCCUCAGCUGGCAACACCUGCACUGGUUGCUGAAUUAACGUAACUCAGAAGCACCGCCUUUGGAUCACGAAGCGCCGGCCGAAAGCUUCACGUUUAUGGUUUAGCUUAGGUUAGGUUGGGUUGGGUUAUUUUAGGAUAGGUUAGGUUUGGUUAGACUGGGUUGGGUUUUGACGGGUUGGGUUGAGUUAGGUUAAGUACGUGGCUGAGUAAAUAAAGAACGGUUAGAUUAGGUAAGGUAAUUGGUUGAACGAAUAGAGACAGAUAAUGAAUAAUUAGGUCAGGUUAGGAUAGGUAAGGUAAGGAUAGGUUUACUUAGAUUAGAAUAACGAUUAUAUAAGUAGAUGCAUAGCGAAUGAAUACGUUAAGUUAGGUUCAUAAAUGAAUUUGGGAGAACGGUGAUGAAACCCCGGAUGAGGAGACGUAUAGGAUUAGAUAAACAGACGGAUGCCAAAUGAUUGGGUUACGUUCAUAACUGGAUAAGUGAGAGAGGCAGUGAAAGUCCAGAUGAGGAAACGUGCAGGAAGAAAAACAGACCAGUUUCAAACAAGUCCCACACACACGCCCGAGUAAAAUGACGGAGCAACAAACACAAGUCUACACUCCCAUCAUGCAACACUCAUUACCAUUAGACUUGGGCACGUAUUCUGAAAC